rnacentral:rRNA from 1 species
AACGCUGGCGGCGUGCCUAAUACAUGCAAGUCGAGCGAACGGACGAGAAGCUUGCUUCUCUGAUGUUAGCGGCGGACGGGUGAGUAACACGUGGAUAACCUACCUAUAAGACUGGGAUAACUUCGGGAAACCGUAGCUAAUACCGGAUAAUAUUUUGAACCGCAUGGUUCAAAAGUGAAAGACGGUCUUGCUGUCACUUAUAGAUGGAUCCGCGCCGCAUUAGCUAGUUGGUAAGGUAACGGCUUACCAAGGCAACGAUGCAUAGCCGACCUGAGAGGGUGAUCGGCCACACUGGAACUGAGACACGGUCCAGGCUCCUACGGGAGGCAGCAGUAGGGAAUCUUCCGCAAUGGGCGAAAGCCUGACGGAGCAACGCCGCGUGAGUGAUGAAGGUCUUCGGAUCGUAAAACUCUGUUAUUAGGGAAGAACAUAUGUGUAAGUAACUGUGCACAUCUUGACGGUACCUAAUCAGAAAGCCACGGCUAACUACGUG